GAUGAACGCUAGCUACAGGCUUAACACAUGCAAGUCGAGGGGCAUCACAGUGUAGCAAUACACGGGUGGCGACCGGCGCACGGGUGCGUAACACGUAUCCAAUCUGCCCGUUACUCGGGGAUAGCCUUGCGAAAGUAAGAUUAAUACCGGAUGUUGUUAAAAACCCGCAUGAGUUUUUAACCAAAGAUUUAUUGGUAAUGGAUGGGGAUGCGUGACAUUAGGUAGUAGGUGAGGUAACGGCUCACCUAGCCGACGAUGUCUAGGGGUUCUGAGAGGAAGGUCCCCCACACUGGAACUGAGACACGGUCCAGACUCCUACGGGAGGCAGCAGUGAGGAAUAUUGGUCAAUGGACGAGAGUCUGAACCAGCCAAGUAGCGUGCAGGAUGACGGCCCUCUGGGUUGUAAACUGCUUUUAGUUGGGAAUAAAAAGAGGGACGUGUCCCUAAUUGUAUGUACCAUCAGAAAAAGGACCGGCUAAUUCCGUG
rnacentral:rRNA from 1 species